rnacentral:rRNA from 1 species
GACGAACGCUGGCGGCGUGCCUAAUACAUGCAAGUCGAGCGGACAGAAGGGAGCUUGCUCCCGGAUGUUAGCGGCGGACGGGUGAGUAACACGUGGGUAACCUGCCUGUAAGACUGGGAUAACUCCGGGAAACCGGAGCUAAUACCGGAUAGUUCCUUGAACCGCAUGGUUCAAGGAUGAAAGACGGUUUCGGCUGUCACUUACAGAUGGACCCGCGGCGCAUUAGCUAGUUGGUGAGGUAACGGCUCACCAAGGCGACGAUGCGUAGCCGACCUGAGAGGGUGAUCGGCCACACUGGGACUGAGACACGGCCCAGACUCCUACGGGAGGCAGCAGUAGGGAAUCUUCCGCAAUGGACGAAAGUCUGACGGAGCAACGCCGCGUGAGUGAUGAAGGUUUUCGGAUCGUAAAGCUCUGUUGUUAGGGAAGAACAAGUGCAAGAGUAACUGCUUGCACCUUGACGGUACCUAACCAGAAAGCCACGGCUAACUACGUGCCAGCAGCCGCGGUAAAAC